CCUGAGAGACCCCGCCAGGGCUGCGGCCGGGGGCGGCUUAAAAAAGGGCAAACUGAGCAAAAAGUCAACAUCAGGGAAGAUCAGGCAUUGUGAAAAUGGAAUUUUUGAGCCACUCUUUGGAGCAAAGGUUCAUGUAAAACCAAAAGGCAAAACUAAAUCAGGCAGAAAACCUCUUUCCCUACUGAAAAGGCCAUUAGGUGGAGUUUUCCAGCUUUGAAGUCCGCAGUAUAUUCUGGCCCAUGAAACAGAAUUAAGAUGGAGCAUCCUAUAGAAUAACAGACUUUCUCAAACCCUUUAUGUGUAGGAUAGACAGAAGUUUCUUGAAAUGUUUUA